rnacentral:rRNA from 1 species
UACAGAGGGGGCAAGCGUUGUUCGGAAUUACUGGGCGUAAAGGGCGCGUAGGCGGCCUGCUAAGUCGAACGUGAAAUCCCCGGGCUCAACCCGGGAACUGCGUCCGAUACUGGCAGGCUUGAAUUCGGGAGAGGGAUGCGGAAUUCCAGGUGUAGCGGUGAAAUGCGUAGAUAUCUGGAGGAACACCGGUGGCGAAGGCGGCGUCCUGGACUGGUACUGACGCUCAGGAGCGAAAGCGUGGGGAGCGAUCCGG